UUACGACCAUAUCAUGCUGAAGUGCCUGUUCUCACACGUUCAGCGAAGUUAAGCCAAGUCAACUCUGGCCAGUACCUAGAUGGGUGACCGCUUGGGAAUACCAGGCGCUGUAAU